GACGGAGGGUGCAAGCGUUGUUCGGAAUUACUGGGCGUAAAGCGUACGUAGGCGGCGGAUUAAGUCGAAUGUUAAAGCCUGGGGCUCAACCCCAGAGAUGCACUCGAUACUGGUCUGCUAGAGGGUGAUAGAGGAAAGUGGAAUUCCCAGUGUAGCGGUGAAAUGCGUAGAUAUUGGGAGGAACAUCAGUAGCGAAGGCGACUUUCUGGGUCACACCUGACGCAGAGGUACGAAAGCGUGGGGAGCAAACGGG
rnacentral:rRNA from 1 species